rnacentral:rRNA from 1 species
UACAGAGGUCCCAAGCGUUGUUCGGAUUCACUGGGCGUAAAGGGUGCGUAGGCGGUCGGGUAAGUCUGAUGUGAAAUCUCACAGCUUAACUGUGAAACUGCAUUGGAUACUAUCCGGCUCGAGGAAUGGAGGGGAGACUGGAAUACUUGGUGUAGCAGUGAAAUGCGUAGAUAUCAAGUGGAACACCAGUGGCGAAGGCGAGUCUCUGGACAUUUCCUGACGCUGAGGCACGAAAGCUGGGGGAGCAAACAGG